GUGUCAGCAGCCGCGGUAAAACGUAGGUGGCGAGCGUUAUCCGGAUUCAUUGGGCGUAAAGAGCUUGUAGGUGGCUCGAUAAGUUGGACGUGAAAACUCCGGGCUUAACUUGGAGAGGCCGUUCAAUACUGUCGGGCUGGAGGGUGUCAGAGGGAAGUAGAAUUCCUGGUGUAGCAGUGAAAUGCGUAGAUAUCAGGAGGAAUACCCGUGGCGCAGGCGGCUUCCUGGGGCACACCUGACACUGAGAAGCGACAGCUAGGGGAGCAAACGGGAUUAGAAACCCGUGUAGUCC
rnacentral:rRNA from 1 species